GGACCGCUAGCUCAGUUGGCUAGAGCGCCUCGUUGACAUCGAGGAGGUCACAAGUUCAAGUCUUGUGCGGUCCACCA
rnacentral:tRNA from 1 species